rnacentral:misc_RNA from 1 species
UCAGGUUAAGAUAUUAUUGCCCACAUUAGUAAUCCAGGGGUUGCAAGGACAAUAUAGAAACACCAAAGCAUAAGAUUUACACAAAGAUGUGGCGCUUAAGAGACAAUCAGGAAUAUCAAGGGAAAAAAGUGCACGGCUGAAAUAUUUACUGAAAGGGAAAUUCAAGUGCCACCUUCUGAAAAAAAGUGGUGAUAUACUAACAACUGCACAAGUUGCCUACUCAGGCAAAGGUCAAAAAAAAUCGCUGCUAACAAUCAAAUCCAGCUCUACUCACUUCCAUCCAGUGCCAAGACAAGUCAGUAUCAGCUUGUUGCCUCAGGCCAAGUACUUGAACAAGUUUGGGUUCUCUUUGUCUCUUUCCAAG